rnacentral:rRNA from 1 species
AGCGAACGCUGGCGGCAGGCUUAACACAUGCAAGUCGAGCGGGCAUAGCAAUAUGUCAGCGGCAGACGGGUGAGUAACGCGUGGGAACGUACCUUUUAGUUCGGAACAACACAGGGAAACUUGUGCUAAUACCGGAUAAGCCCUUUCGGGGAAAGAUUUAUCGCCGAAAGAUCGGCCCGCGUCUGAUUAGCUAGUUGGUGGGGUAAAGGCCCACCAAGGCGACGAUCAGUAGCUGGUCUGAGAGGAUGAUCAGCCACAUUGGGACUGAGACACGGCCCAAACUCCUACGGGAGGCAGCAGUGGGGAAUAUUGGACAAUGGGGGCAACCCUGAUCCAGCCAUGCCGCGUGAGUGAUGAAGGCCCUAGGGUUGUAAAGCUCUUUUGUGCGGGAAGAUAUGACGGUACCGCAAGAAUAAGCCCCGGCUAACUUCGUGCCAGCAGCCGCCGCAG